AGAGUUUGAUCCUGGCUCAGAACGAACGCUGGCGGCGUGCUUAACACAUGCAAGUCGAACGCGAACGAUUUUCUUCGGAGAAUUUAGUAGAGUGGCGCACGGGUGAGUAACGCGUAAGUAAUCUACCCUGGCAUCCAGGAUAACCCACCGAAAGGUGUGCUAAUACUGGAUACGCUGAUUUAUCAGGAAAGGUGGCCUCUGAUUUAAGCUACCGUGCUGGGAGGAGCUUGCGUACCAUUAGCUAGUUGGUAGGGUAAAGGCCUACCAAGGCGACGAUGGUUAGCGGGUCUGAGAGGAUGAUCCGCCACACUGGAACUGGAACACGGACCAGACUCCUACGGGAGGCAGCAGUGAGGAAUAUUGCGCAAUGGGGGCAACCCUGACGCAGCGACGCCGCGUGGAUGAUGAAGGCUUUCGAGUCGUAAAAUCCUGUCAGAUGGAAAGAAGUGCAUAUGUAUUAAUAGUGCAUAUGUUUGACGGUACCAUCAAAGGAAGCACCGGCUAACUCCGUGCCAGCAGCCGCGGUAAUACGGAGGGUGCAAGCGUUGUUCGGAAUUACUGGGCGUAAAGCGCGCGUAGGCGGUUUGUUAUGUCAGAUGUGAAAGUCCUCGGCUCAACCGGGGAAGUGCAUUUGAAACUGGCAGACUUGAGUAUUGGAGGGGGUAGUGGAAUUCCCGGUGUAGAGGUGAAAUUCGUAGAUAUCGGGAGGAAUACCGGUGGCGAAGGCGACUACCUGGCCAAAUACUGACGCUGAGGUGCGAAAGCGUGGGGAGCAAACAGGAUUAGAUACCCUGGUAGUCCACGCCGUAAACGAUGUCAACUAGGUGUUGGGGAGGUUAAUCUUCUCAUUGCCGGAGCUAACGCAUUAAGUUGACCGCCUGGGGAGUACGGUCGCAAGAUUAAAACUCAAAGGAAUUGACGG
rnacentral:rRNA from 1 species